CAAGAAAAGUGCAAUAGUCUAAAGCUUACAAUGAUAAACCAGAACUAUACUAUAAACGAACACAUUGGCGGUCUAUCUACUUAGGUUCUAACGAUGUAUGUAGUGUCUAAUAAUAAUUAUCCUUAUUUUUAUAUGAGAGGUUUAUCAUUUAAGUUACGUUUAAUUUUUAGUAAUAAGAUCCAAGGCUGUAUUUAAUACAAGGAGUGUUUUUUCCCAAUGAGCUGGAUACGUUUUACAUUUUGUUAGCCAUUAUUAGUUAUUGUGUGAAAAUACUCCUGUUGGUGAUAAUAGAUAAAUGUCCGAUUUCAAAUCGGUAACGUAUAGGGCAUUGUCUAUUAUGACCAGCUUCCUAAGUUGUUACGUGAUACGUGUGUAUGACUAAUUAUAAAAUAAUCCUUAUUUUGGUAACAAAUUGGUGUUAUGAAAAUUUUGUGAAUAAAAUAUGGUGUCAUUCUA